rnacentral:rRNA from 1 species
AACGAACGCUGGCGGCAGGCCUAACACAUGCAAGUCGAACGCUCUAUAUUGAGAGUGGCGCACGGGUGAGUAACGCGUGGGAAUGUACCUUAAGGUGGGGAAUAACUUCGGGAAACUGAAGCUAAUACCGCAUAAUGUCUUCGGACCAAAGAUUUAUCGCCUUAAGAUCAGCCCGCGUUAGAUUAGCUAGUUGGUAAGGUAACGGCUUACCAAGGCUACGAUCUAUAGCUGGUUUGAGAGGACGACCAGCCACACUGGAACUGAGACACGGUCCAG